rnacentral:lncRNA from 1 species
UAUGGGUAUCUACUUAGGAAUAGCCCUCUUUGGUGUUGAUCCUUCUUCUCUAAGAACAAUCAACCUGCGAAUUUGAACAAAGUCUGGAUCACGAUCAACUCUUUGAUCUUUUUCUUGAUCUUUUCUUCUCUUCUUCUCUUAUUUUUCUUCUCUUGAUUAUGAAGCAAUCAAAAAUUGAAAAAUCAGCAAGCAAAGGGAUACCCAAGCUCCUCUUGGGCAUGAAG